UACGUAGGGGGCAAGCGUUGUCCGGAAUCAUUGGGCGUAAAGCGCGUGUAGGCGGUCCGGUAAGUCCGCUGUGAAAGUCGGGGGCUCAACCCUCGGAUGCCGGUGAAUACUGUCGGGCUUGAAUACGGAAGAGGCGAGUGGAAUUCCUGGUGUAGCGGUGAAAUGCGCAGAUAUCAGGAGGAACACCAAUUGCGAAGGCAGCUCGCUGGGACGUUACUGACGCUGAGACGCGAAAGCGUGGGGAGCAAACAGG
rnacentral:rRNA from 1 species